GCACAAGCGGUGGAGCAUGUGGUUUAAUUCGACGCAACGCGCAGAACCUUACCAGGGUUUGACAUCCUGUGCUCGCCGGUGAAAGCCGGUUUCCCCGCAAGGGGCGCAGAGACAGGUGCUGCAUGGCUGUCGUCAGCUCGUGUCGUGAGAUGUUGGGUUAAGUCCCGCAACGAGCGCAACCCUCGCCUUUAGUUGCCAUCAUUCAGUUGGGCACUCUAGAGGGACCGCCGGCGACAAGCCGGAGGAAGGUGGGGAUGACGUCAAGUCCUCAUGGCCCUUACACCCUGGGCUACACACGUGCUACAAUGGCGGUGACAGUGGGCAGCUACUUCGCGAGGAGCGGCUAAUCCCAAAAAACCGUCCCAGUUCAGAUUGCACUCUGCAACUCGAGUGCAUGAAGGUGGAAUCGCUAGUAAUCGCAGAACAGCAGGCUGCGGUGAAUACGUUCCCGGGC
rnacentral:rRNA from 1 species